rnacentral:rRNA from 1 species
AAGGGUCUGAUGGAGCAACGCCGCGUGAGUGAAGAAGGGUUUCGGCUCGUAAAACUCUGUUGUUGAAGAAGAACAUAUCUGAGAGUAACUGUUCAGGUAUUGACGGUAUUUAACCAGAAAGCCACGGCUAACUACGUGCCAGCAGCCGCGGUAAUACGUAGGUGGCAAGCGUUGUCCGGAUUUAUUGGGCGUAAAGCGAGCGCAGGCGGUUUUUUAAGUCUGAUGUGAAAGCCUUCGGCUCAACCGAAGAAGUGCAUCGGAAACUGGGAAACUUGAGUGCAGAAGAGGACAGUGGAACUCCAUGUGUAGCGGUGAAAUGCGUAGAUAUAUGGAAGAACACCAGUGGCGAAGGCGGCUGUCUGGUCUGUAACUGACGCUGAGGCUCGAAAGUAUGGGUAGCAAACAGGAUUAGAUACCCUAGUAGUCAA